rnacentral:rRNA from 1 species
CCUACGGGCGGCAGCAGUGGGGAAUAUUGCACAAUGGGGGAAACCCUGAUGCAGCGAAGCCGCGUGAGUGAAGAAACGUUUCGGCGCGUAAAGCUCUGUCAGCGGGGAAGAAACACGGUUCGCGAGAGCCGCGGACGGUACCCGACCAAGAAGCCCCGGCUAACUACUUGCCAGAAGCCGCGGUAAUACGUAGGGGGUAAGCGUACUCCGGAUUUACUGGGCGUAAGGGGGGCGCCGACGGCAAUGCACGCCAGGAGUGAAACCCCUGGGCCCAACCCCGGGACUGCUCUUGGAACUGCAUGGCUGGAGUACAGGAGGGGCAGGCGGAAUUCCUAGUGUAGCGGUGAAAUGCGUAGAUAUUAGGAGGAACACCGGUGGCGAAGGCGGCCUGCUGGACUGUGACUGACGUUGAGGCCCGAAGGCGUGGGGAGCAAACAGGAUUAGAUACCCCUGUAGUC